CUUACACAACAGAAGUUUAUUUUCUCACAGUUUUGGAGGCUAGAAAUCCAAGAUCAAGGAAAAGUUUGCAGAUGCCUGAAUAAGCGACCCAGCCAGGAUUCGAACCUGAGACUCAGAGCCAGAGGUGGCCCUCUGCAGGCAAAGAUCAGCCGGGACCUGGAAAUGCCGGCGCGAGAGACGGCCUUCUGCCCAUCAUCUCUCCAUGUGGACCCUCGGCACGGUGGCUUCAAGGUAGUUGGACUUGGUGGCUCAGAUCUCCAAGGGUGAAUGUCCUGGAGACCAAGGUGAAAGUUGCAUCUCCCAUCAUCCCGCCUUGGAAGUUGCUCUGCGUCUCAAAUUGUCAAAGCUGGAUCCUACAGAGUUUGGUGACAUUGAUAGGAUGAGAUGGAGACUACUGAUGGCUUUGAGGACAAGGAGAAAUAAAAGCAUUCUCGCUCUGGAGCCUGUAGAUGGGACCCUGGGAAAAACGGGCAGAAACCAGCAAAGGGUGAGAAUUCUUUCCGGAGUCAACUCUUCUCAAUCUCCACAGCACCCAGGCA